UGUCACUAUUAUCACAUUCUUUGAUUUUUGUUCUGUUUAUUGAGAAGACUUCUUUCACAUCCUGUAGGUGUUAUUGAUUUAAAUUAGUUGUGGCACUAAAAGAAUACUACAGGACAGCAAGAUGCGAUGGAGAAUGGGGAUGUGAUCACUGCAAAAGCGCAAUUAUACUCGGUAUAGAAUACACUGUGCUAAAGCAAAGGCCCUUCAACUUUGAUUUAAAUGCCGAGGUUGAUGGUCCAUCUCUUCAAUUGACAGGGUUCUAUGUGGCUGAAUCCAUUUCCAACUUCACUUUCUUUUUCUCUCAAACAUCAGAAACUUUUAAUGACUGCAACCAUUGCAACUAAGCUGCUUUUAGUCUCUCGCUGGAAAUCUCCCACACUUGUCUCUCCUGAAAUCUGGAAGUCUUCUUAUUCCUCUUGCACUUUCCACAUCUUGGGUCAACAACUCUUCCACAACUGGCUUCAUACUGUUCAGUUUGUGAAGUCCCAGGAGGUGGGAACACCCUGAUGUCAUUGCUGCUGGUGCCACCCUCUUAUUCAGCCAAAGACCCUGCCUCUCGAUGACAUCACCACCAGUCCACACACUGCUGAAGUCACCUCUGGCGACAGGUACCCAGAAUCCAUCUUACCACCACAUCAGUUCCUCCUCUUCCUUUCUUCCACCAUAUUUAAGAACAGUAUACAACGUUUUAGUCAUUUUAGUUGUGAACUCUGCUUAUGUUAACCGUGUUUCUUUUAUUUUUGCUGAUUUUUCAGUAUAUGAAGUGGCCAUCCCCAAACCAUUUUCUGUCUGUUGCUUAUUUCUCUUUAAAUACAUAGUGAGCUCACUUAGGAGGCAAUUUUGAGUACAGAAAUAGAUAUUU